GAUAUGGCUCAGGAUGAACGCUAGCUACAGGCUUAACACAUGCAAGUCGAGGGGCAGCAUGGUCUUAGCUUGCUAAGGCUGAUGGCGACCGGCGCACGGGUGAGUAACACGUAUCCAACCUGCCGUCUACUCUUGGCCAGCCUUCUGAAGGGAAGAUUAAUCCAGGAUGGGAUCAUGAGUUCACAUGUCCGCAUGAUUAAAGGUAUUUUCCGGUAGACGAUGGGGA
rnacentral:rRNA from 1 species